rnacentral:rRNA from 1 species
GACGUAGGGCGCGAGCGUUGUCCGGAUUUAUUGGGCGUAAAGCGCACGUAGGCGGCUUUGCAAGUCCCAUGUGAAAUCCCACGGCUUAACCGUGGAAGUGCAUGGGAAACUGCAGAGCUUGAGUACUUAAGAGGAUCGCGGAAUUCCCGGUGUAGAGGUGAAAUUCGUAGAUAUCGGGAGGAACACCGGUGGCGAAGGCGGCGUUCUGGACUGCAACUGACACUGAGGAACGAAAGCCAGGGGAGCAAACGGG